rnacentral:rRNA from 1 species
AUACGGAGGAUGCGAGCGUUAUCCGGAUUUAUUGGGUUUAAAGGGAGCGUAGGCGGGAGCUUAAGUCAGCGGUUAAAUGGGGCGGCUCAACCGUGCCCUGCCGUUGAAACUGGGUUUCUUGAGAGUGCAAGAGGCGGAUGGAAUUCAUGGUGUAGCGGUGAAAUGCUUAGAUAUCAUGAAGAACUCCGAUUGCGAAGGCAGUCCGCUGGGGCACGUCUGACGCUGAUGCUCGAAGGUGCGGGAAUCAAACAGGAUUAGAUACCCUGGUAGUCCGCACGGUAAACGAUGAUUACCCGCUGUCGGCGGUAGACAGUCGGCGGCCAAGCGAAAGCGAUAAGUAAUCCACCUGGGGAGUACGCCGGCAACGGUGAAACUCAAAUGAAUUGACGGGG